rnacentral:tmRNA from 15 species
GGGCCUGUCACGGCUUCGACGGGAACAUUUACAACUAAAGCACGCAAGCGGAGAGGACACGCCUUAUCGUCCACAAUUAACGUGCAAACGUUUUUGCAAAAGCUAAAGCUUCGAUCGCGCAAGCUUUCGCGCCUAGCUUUGCUCCAGCAGUAGCGUAACGCUCACUGCCGUUUCAAUAAUCGAUGCUACUACAUUAUUGAGGCGCUAUAUUUGUAGCUAGACGACGUCGCUGUGUCCGACGUUGUUCGAAUCUCUACACUGCUCUAUCGAAGUAUUUCGUUUACUUCAAGCCUCGAUAGCUAAGAAAUUAAGUAAACUACGCUUGUAGACACUUUAGUUGUUCGUUUUCGGACGCGGGUUCAACUCCCGCCAGGUCCACCA